CGAACGAGGGCGUGUCACAACUCAUUCGGUCCCGCUGCCUAGAUGGGCGAGCCAACCAGAAGCGUGCUGCUGCCCUUUUCACUGCCACUAUGCGGCAGGUUCCAGGUUCUUGUUCUGUGACCAGAAGAAUGAGUGAUCAUAAGACAAGAAAUAUAUAAACAAAAAAUGAAACCAUGAAAAUAGAAGCAUUUAUAGAAGCUGCACUACAGCAUCUAAUCAGGAGGAUUUUUUUCCAAGCAUCAGUGACAGUGCUGGACUACACAGUGGAGGAACCUCGAAAACAUUUUGCUAAGUAAAAGAAGCUGGACAAAAAAUGGUCACAUGCUGUGUGAUUCCAUUUAUAUAAAAUAUCCAGCAUAGGGGAAAUCUAUAAAGAUAGAAAAUUGAUGCUUGACAGGGGCUGGGGAAACGGAGAUUGUGGAAUAAAUGCUUGAUACGCAUGGGAUUUCUAGAGAGGUGGUGAUUGUACAACAUUGUGAAUCUACAGAAUGUCACUGAAUGGUUCACUUUAAAAUGGUUAAUUUUAUGUUAUGUGAA
rnacentral:lncRNA from 1 species